GACGAACGCUGGCGGCGUGCCUAAUACAUGCAAGUCGAACGCUUCUUUCCUCCCGAGUGCUUGCCCUCAAUUGGAAAGAGGAGUGGCGGACGGGUGAGUAACACGUGGGUAACCUACCCAUCAGAGGGGGAUAACACUUGGAAACAGGUGCUAAUACCGCAUAACAGUUUAUGCCGCAUGGCAUAAGAGUGAAGGGCGCUUUCGGGUGUCGCUGAUGGAUGGACCCGCGGUGCAUUAGCUAGUUGGUGAGGUAACGGCUCACCAAGGCCACGAUGCAUAGCCGACCUGAGAGGGUGAUCGGCCACACUGGGACUGAGACACGGCCCAGACUCCUACGGGAGGCAGCAGUAGGGAAUCUUCGGCAAUGGACGAAAGUCUGACCGAGCAACGCCGCGUGAGUGAAGAAGGUUUUCGGAUCGUAAAACUCUGUUGUUAGAGAAGAACAAGGACGUUAGUAACUGAACGUCCCCUGACGGUAUCUAACCAGAAAGCCACGGCUAACUACGUG
rnacentral:rRNA from 1 species